AUCACUCUGCAGUGGAAUAAAGUCAACAACAAUGUCAGCUUUGUUCUCCACUUUAAUGGUACAGAGACAAGCAUCAGUGCACCAGCUGGAAAUGGAUCAGUAACUCACACUGUCUCAUCUCUCACUACUGGAACUCGAUACACAUUCACUCUCUACUCUGUGUUUGAGAACAUCAGAAGCAGUGGAGUCAGCAUUACUGCAGUCACUGGGCCUGACUUUAUCAUCGGACUGAACGUGAGACUGAAGUCAUUUCCUCAGCUGUCAGACUCAGAAAUUCAGGAUACACUGGAGGAGUUCUUCAGAAAAAAUGGAUUAUUGCCACAGUUUUUUUCCCUGAAGGUCCGGAAGGUUAAACCAUGACACAAGAAGAGAAAAGAAGUGAUUGAAUGGAAGUGAACAGAUCUGUGCAGCAAAGAAGAAAAGAACGUUUCUUAAGUGCUUUUCAUGUUUAUUAAUUACUUUCCUCAAAAAGGAACUAAAACAAAUUAAUUGUUUAAUUAAUAAAUACAUAAAUAAAAGUAGA